AUUGAACGCUGGCGGCAGGCAUAACACAUGCAAGUCGAGCGAGAGGAGGACGGGUGAGAAAUGUGCGGGAAAAUGUCGGAUGGAGGGGGAUAACUACAGGAAACGGUAGCUAAUACCGCAUCCCAUAAGAUGUGCGCAGAUGUGAUUAGCUAGUGGGUUGGGUAACGGCUCACUUAGGCGACGAUCCCUAGCUGGUCUGAGAGGAUGACCAGCCACACUGGAACUGAGACCCGGUCCAGACUCCUACGGGAGGCAGCAGUGGGGAAUAUUGCACAAUGGGCGCAAGCCUUAUGCAGCCAUGCCGCGUGUGUGAAGAAGGCCUUCGGGUUGUAAAGCACUUUCAGCAGGGAGGCGUUACCCGCAGAAGAAGCACCGGCUAACUCCGUGCCAGCAGCCGCGGUAAUAC
rnacentral:rRNA from 1 species